rnacentral:misc_RNA from 1 species
CCGUAGGUGAACCUGCGGAGGGAUCAUUACAGAGUUCAUGCCCUACCGGGUAGAUCUCCCACCCUAUGUUAUUAUUACUUUGUUGCUUUGGCGGGCCGUUAGGCUCCGGCCCGACUACCGGCCCCGGCUGGUAAGCGCCCGCCAGAGGACCCAAAACCCUGAAUAUUAGUGUCGUCUGAGUACUACAUAAUAGUUAAAACUUUCAACAACGGAUCUCUUGGUUCUG